rnacentral:rRNA from 1 species
AUUGAACGCUGGCGGCAUGCCUUACACAUGCAAGUCGAACGGCAGCACGGGAGCAAUCCUGGUGGCGAGUGGCGAACGGGUGAGUAAUAUAUCGGAACGUGCCCAGUCGUGGGGGAUAACGCAGCGAAAGCUGUGCUAAUACCGCAUACGAUCUACGGAUGAAAGCGGGGGAUCGCAAGACCUCGCGCGAUCGGAGCGGCCGAUAUCAGAGUAGCUAGUUGGUGGGGUAAAGGCCCACCAAGGCGACGAUCUGUAGCUGGUCUGAGAGGACGACCAGCCACACUGGAACUGAGACACGGUCCAGACUCCUACGGGAGGCAGCAGUGGGGAAUUUUGGACAAUGGGCGCAAGCCUGAUCCAGCAAUGCCGCGUGCAGGAUGAAGGCCUUCGGGUUGUAAACUGCUUUUGUACGGAACGAAACGGCCCUUUCUAAUACAGGGGGCUAAUGACGGUACCGUAAGAAUAAGCACCGGCUAACUACGUGCCAGCCGCCGCCGUAAAAC